UCUCCUCUUUGUGGGUAGGUUCAGGUCAAAUAUUUGUGGUAGGAGCCAGACAAAUGAUACUUCAUUCUUCACAGUGCAUCAUGUUGAGAAGCCUCCGGUUCUCCUAUACUUGGUGACUGACUGAGGGUCCUAUAUCCAAAUACUGGUGUCUUUAUGAAGAAACAGGAAAACCAAGACAAA